rnacentral:rRNA from 1 species
AUGGGCAAGUCUUCGACAACCCCCGUAAUUCCAGAGUCAGAAGAACAAGUAUUGGUGACCCCAGACGCCAAUACUGAGCAAGAUGAAGAACACCAUGAUGAUCGGGGUGACCCGCCCCCGCAGACAGAAAAAACAGCCUCCGAUGCUAUGGAUGCUGAUGCCAACCCAGCAGGCAACCCUGACCCGCCGAGUUCCAUUCCUUCAAGUCCUCUCGAAGCAACAGAAGAGACUCCUCCCGAGAAGAAUGAUGACGAUGUUGCCAUUAUUGGGGCGGGUUAUAAAACACCAGGAAUCACCAAUCUGUUAACGAAGCACACAACCAAGGAGGAGAAACUUUUGUCUGAGAAAGGCAAAUCAAAACUUGAGCUGUCAGGUUAUGAAGGCCUCAAUGCUGAAGAUUUACAUGCUGGCUAUGUAAGCCGCCUGGUCACAAGCCGGGACAUGGAGGCUAGCUUAGUGAAUACAAUGAAAAGAAGUAUGAGGAAGCAUUAUCUUUGGGCGACUCAGACCUCACCGGUUUGA